rnacentral:misc_RNA from 1 species
UUGUGGAGGAGGACGCCGAAGGUGGGGCUAAUGACUGGGGUGAAGUCGUAACAAGGUAGCCGUACCGGAAGGUGCGGCUGGAUCACCUCCUAACAGGGAGACAACAAAAUGUUUAAUAUUAUUAUUUUGUCACCUUAGGUCGAUCGGUAUCUCACGUUCUUAAUUAAUUAAGAAUUUCAUUUCCUAAGUUUUUCUAGGUCACACCCAUUAUUUUUCCUGGGCCAUUAGCUCAGGUGGUUAGAGCGCACCCCUGAUAAGGGUGAGGCCCCUGGUUCAAGUCCAGGAUGGCCCAUAUCUCUAUGUUGGGGGUAUAGCUCAGUUGGUAGAGCGCCUGCUUUGCAAGCAGGAUGUCAGCGGUUCGAGUCCGCUUACCUCCACUGAUUACCACCUCUUCCAUAUCUUUAGAAAGGAAAUGUUUUGAGUUGUGAUCAAAUUCUGAACGAAUCUAGCUUCCUAAUGAAAGCAUUAAGAUGCUGGACUCAUUGAAUUUAUUUCAUUGUUUUCAGAGAACCUUGACAACUGCAUAGAUUAUUUUUAAGGACAAUAAGCAUCUUUAAUGAUGCAGAUUUUUUAUUUGUGCGAAUGCAUUAAUAACAAUUCUAUUAAGCUGAUGCUUCAAUUUUGAAGUUAUUGGUCAAGCUACAA